rnacentral:misc_RNA from 1 species
GACGAAGGAUGCAAGCGUUAUCCGGAUUCAUUGGGUUUAAAGGGUGCGUAGGCGGACUGAUAAGUCAGUAGUGAAAUCUCUUUGCUUAACAAAAAAACUGCCAUUGAUACUGUCGGUCUAGAGUAUAGAUGACGUUGGCGGAAUAUGACAUGUAGUGGUGAAACACUUAGAUAUGUCAUAGAACACCGAUUGCGAAGGCAGCUAACGAAACUAUAACUGACGCUGAGGCACGAAAGUGCGGGGAUCAAACAGG